UCAGUGUGGAUGCAUCUGUUGAAGACAAAUCUUUAGGGAGGCUUGUAAAUGAUGAACACAAGAAACCAAACUGCAAAAUAAAAGUUGUUGAAGUAGAUGGAAUGCCAACCCUGUGCUUAUUUGCACUUAGAGAUAUUUUACCAGGAGAAGAAAUUAACUAUAAUUAUGGGGAUUCAGAUUGGCCCUGGCGCAAACAGGUUAAACCAGAAGCUUCCACUGCCAAGACUCUUCAGAAGCCUCUUAUAACUACAGGGGAAGAGAACUAUCCUGUGAAGUGUGCAAAGAGAGCACUGACUGCUAGCAGAGUUCAAGAAAAGAGAGAGGCUCCCAGGAAGUCUUUCACAAUUAUGGAGAGUGAGGAACAAGGAGAACACUCUGUUUGUUGUAUCCAGAAGAGCCCUGAGACAGACUGCUCUUCCUGCCCAGUUAUAGACGAGGACAGUUCACAGGACAAGCCUUUGGGUGCUGCAGAAAACCAGAUGUAUGCAGAAACUCCCAUGAGUCACAUUGUGAGGGAUAAGCAGACCGUUUCUUCACGUCAGACAAAAGGAAGGACUAGGUCACUCGAAAGGCCUCUUGGAAUUACAGAGCGUAAGGAACAAGGAGAACACUCUGUUAGUUGCAUCCAGAAGAGCCCUGAGACAGACUGCUCUUCCUGCCCAGUUAUAGACGAGGACAGUUCACAGGACAAGCCUUUGGGUGCUGCAGAAAACCAGGAACAAGGAGAACACUCUGUUAGUUGUAUCCAGAAGAGCCCUGAGACAGACUGCUCUUCCUGCCCAGUUAUAGACGAGGACAGUUCACAGGACAAGCCUUUGGGUGCUGCAGAAAACCAGUGUGGAACUGCAGAACAUGUUCCGAGAACAGAUAUGAAACAGAGUGCUUUGGAAAAGCACCGUGAAAUGCUCUUGCUUCAGCGUGCAGAACUUUCAUGUGAAAUAUCCAAGAUAGACAAAUUGUUGGAUUCACCAUCUCCUGGAGCUGACAGCCGUGGUAGCAACUCCUUACUUGGUACUGAAGACUUAGAGAGAACCUGCUUCAUUCAGAAGAAUGUGACAUGUCAAGUGAUGAUGAUAAUGAUGACUAUGAGCCUGUAGACCCAGUGACAACAGAAUCUGUUAAGCCUGCAGUCCCAGCUACUGGUCCUGACACUUUGGCAUCUCCUGUAUCAGCUGUGACUCCCAAACAAGAUGCAGCAAGAAAGCCAAAACGUAAGUGGCAGGCCUCUGAGGUAUGUGCAGUAGAGCGGCAUCUGAUGAGAUACAUCCAAACUGGUAAAGUGCCUCAGAAGCUAGACUGUAUCCAAUGUUUACACGCAGAAUCCCACGCGCUCAGCGAUCGAUCAUGGACCGAUGUGAAAAAUUUUGUACGCAACAGGAGCAUCACCUUAAAGAAACAGUUCAGCUCAGCUUGUUAGGGCAAAAUUGUGUUAAUAUUGUUGGUGUAAUAUUUGUUCUGCAACACAUAUAAAGCAAGAUGUCAUAUUUAGCCAGAUAAUUAAACCUUUACUGAAUUUUACCAAAAGCUUAUUGAACAGAAAUCGUGUAAAGUAUGUGUACAGAUAUCUGGGUAACUUUUGUGAAAUACUCCCAGCUUUUUACUGUCGCAGUUUUGUAAUGAAAUGUAAUUCAGACAGACCCACAGCACUGUGCAAACGUCUUGUGGAUAACUAUUUAUCUUGGUAGUAUAGAGUUUGUACAAAUCAACAUUAACUUAAGAAUAAAUAUAAAUUGGCAUAAAACAAUUCUUAUUUAGUAGUUCAAUAAAUGAGGCACUGCUUGUGGAAUUUAACAGAUCCAGUCUUUUGACAGCACUAACUUCACUAUAACAAAUCCUGUAUAAUAAGUUUUGUU